rnacentral:lncRNA from 1 species
CCAAAUCUGAUCUGAAUCUGGCUGCCUCCCUUUGAAGCAAGCAUUGCACGCACCAAGCUUGUGGUAUUGUCCAGUGCUACAGCAACCAUAUGUCUAUGCCUAUAUAUUCGUGGACUAGCUAAGUAAAACACCAUCCCUCCGUCCACAAAAUCACAAAACAUUUCUGAGCAACGUACCUGAGAUCAGAACCAAGAACCAGCCAUGAUCCAUCCUAAGAAGCUUGCUCAAUUGAUGAGGAAGUGGCAAAGGGUCAAGACAACUGCCGGUGAAGACGAUGAAACAUGCUGCACAACCUCAUCGGUCGCAGAUAAGGGCCCCUUCGCCAUGUACACGGUUGAUGAGAGGCGUUUUGAGAUCCCUUUGCCUUACCACGGCACGACAGUCUUCGGCGAGCUACUGCAUAUGUCCCACGAGGAGUUUGGGUUCACAGCUG